rnacentral:rRNA from 1 species
AUGAACGCUGGCGGCGUGCCUAAUACAUGCAAGUCGCGCGAACAGACGAGGAGCUUGCUCCUCUGACGUUAGCGGCGGACGGGUGAGUAACACGUGGAUAACCUACCUAUAAGACUGGGAUAACUUCGGGAAACCGGAGCUAAUACCGGAUAAUAUAUUGAACCGCAUGGUUCAAUAGUGAAAGACGGUUUUGCUGUCACUUAUAGAUGGAUCCGCGCCGCAUUAGCUAGUUGGUAAGGUAACGGCUUACCAAGGCAACGAUGCGUAGCCGACCUGAGAGGGUGAUCGGCCACACUGGAACUGAGACACGGUCCAGACUCCUACGGGAGGCAGCAGUAGGGAAUCUUCCGCAAUGGGCGAAAGCCUGACGGAGCAACGCCGCGUGAGUGAUGAAGGUCUUCGGAUCGUAAAACUCUGUUAAUAGGGAAGAACAAAUGUGUAAGUAACUAUGCACGUCUUGACGGUACCUAAUCAGAAAGCCACGGCUAACUACGUG